rnacentral:rRNA from 1 species
ACGAACGCUGGCGGCGUGCUUAACACAUGCAAGUCGAACGGAAAGGCCCUGCUUUUGUGGGGUGCUCGAGUGGCGAACGGGUGAGUAACACGUGAGUAACCUGCCCUUGACUUUGGGAUAACUUCAGGAAACUGGGGCUAAUACCGGAUAGGAGCUCCUGCUGCAUGGUGGGGGUUGGAAAGUUUCGGCGGUUGGGGAUGGACUCGCGGCUUAUCAGCUUGUUGGUGGGGUAGUGGCUUACAAGGCUUUGACGGGUAGCCGGCCUGAGAGGGUGACCGGCCACAUUGGGACUGAGAUACGGCCCAGACUCCUACGGGAGGCAGCAGUGGGGAAUAUUGCACAAUGGGCGGAAGCCUGAUGCAGCAACGCCGCGUGCGGGAUGACGGCCUUCGGGUUGUAAACCGCUUUCGCCUGUGACGAAGCGUGAGUGACGGUAAUGGGUAAAGAAGCACCGGCUAACUACGUG